rnacentral:antisense_RNA from 1 species
UUUGACGGAGCCCAGGAGCAGCGGGUGCUCGGGGUCGCGGCCCUGGCCGUACGUGGCCAGCAGGGCCUGCGCCUC